CAAGGAAUUUUCGGCAAUGGGCGCAAGCCUGACCGAGCAACGCCGCGUGCAGGAUGACGGCCUUCGGGUUGUAAACUGCUUUUCUGGGGGAAGAUACGGACGGUACCCCAGGAAUAAGCCCCGGCUAACUCUGUGCCAGCAGCCGCGGUAAGACAGAGGGGGCAAGCGUUGUCCGGAGUUACUGGGCGUAAAGCGCGCGUAGGCGGUACGGUAAGUAAGGUGUGAAAGCCCCAGGCUUAACCUGGGGAGGUCAUCUUCGACUGCCGCACUCGAGUCGUGCAGAGGGUGGUGGAAUUGCCGGUGUAGUGGUGAAAUGCGUAGAGAUCGGCAGGAACACCAAGGGCGAAAGCAGCCACCUGGGCACGUACUGACGCUGAGGUGCGAAAGCGUGGGGAGCGAACCGGAUUAGAUACCCGGGUAGUCCACGCCGUAAACGAUGGACGCUCGGCUUGUGUUGCCAAUCACGGCAGUGCGAGCCUAAGCUGACGCGUAAGCGUCCCGCCUGGGAACUACGAGCGCAAGCUUAA
rnacentral:rRNA from 1 species